UGCCAGCCGCCGCGGUAAUACGGAGGGGGUUAGCGUUGUUCGGAAUUACUGGGCGUAAAGCGCACGUAGGCGGACUGGAAAGUAUGGGGUGAAAUCCCAGGGCUCAACCCUGGAACUGCCUCAUAAACUGCAUUGCUAGAGUUCUGGAGAGGAAGGCGGAAUUCCUGGAGGAGAGGUGAAAUUCGUAGAUAUCAGGAAGAACACCGGUGGCGAAGGCGGCCUUCUGGACAGAUACUGACGCUGAUGUGCGAAAGCGUGGGGAGCAAACAGGAUUAGAUA
rnacentral:rRNA from 1 species